CUGACAAGUUUCCACUAAUCAUUAAAAAUUAAUGUGUUUCCAUGUUAUUAUAUUGUCAAGAAAAAACGGUCUCGCUUCAAAGUUCAAAGCUAAUAAGAGUAUAAGCAACCCCUAUGGUAGUUUCUUACCAUGAAAUUCAAAAACUAUAUAUUAGUGUAUUUAGAUAAAGAGUAUAUUAAAAAAAUUGAAAACCCAACUAACAAUAUCUCAUUUAACAUAUUAUUAGUAAUUUCCGAAAUUUUUUGUAUAUUUUUAAUUCAUUAUAUGUAGUAAUACGUGAUUUAAGAAUUCUAUGGUAAAAAACUACCAUUGGUGGCGCUCUCAAGAAGAAGGUUCGUGAGUUGGGAACACAAACACAAUGUUGUAUGAAAGUAUAUUAUUUUAUCAUUUAUGUUGUUUUUAUGUCAGAAAGAGGAACAAUUUUUGCCCAAAAAAGAAGAAGAACAAGGUAUGUGGUCCAAAUCCAAAAGAAAAUUUCUUACUGAUUUGGAAAUGAGAUUUGACUUUGGCUAACAUAUAUUGGUCUACAAGCAGGUCCACAUACUUAUUAAACAGAGAAUCCAAAGUAUCAUGCCUAUCCACUAACAGUCUAACACCUCACAGAACUCUACCAAGAAACCCUCACCUC
rnacentral:lncRNA from 1 species